rnacentral:rRNA from 1 species
AAAAGAUUAAGUUAUUAAGGGCGCACGGUGGAUGCCUUGGCACUAGAAGCCGAUGAAGGACGUUACUAACGACGAUAUGCUUUGGGGAGCUGUAAGUAAGCUUUGAUCCAGAGAUUUCCGAAUGGGGAAACCCAGCAUGAGUUAUGUCAUGUUAUCGAUAUGUGAAUACAUAGCAUAUCUGAAGGUAGACGCGGAGAACUGAAACAUCUUAGUACCCGCAGGAAGAGAAAGAAAAAUCGAUUCCCUGAGUAGCGGCGAGCGAAACGGGAAGAGCCCAAACCAACGAGCUUGCUUGUUGGGGUUGUAGGACACUCUAUACGGAGUUACAAAAGAAUAAACUAGACGAAUCAUCUGGAAAGAUGAAUCAAAGAAGGUAAUAAUCCUGUAGUCGAAAGUUUAUUCACUCUUGAGUGGAUCCUGAGUACGACGGAACACGAGAAAUUCCGUCGGAAUCCGGGAGGACCAUCUCCCAAGGCUAAAUACUCUCUAGUGACCGAUAGUGAACCAGUACCGUGAGGGAAAGGUGAAAAGUACCCCGGAAGGGGAGUGAAAUAGAACUUGAAACCGUGUGCUUACAAGUAGUCAGAGCCCGUUAAUGGGUGAUGGCGUGCCUUUUGUAGAAUGAACCGGCG